rnacentral:rRNA from 1 species
CAGUCGCCGCGGUAAUACGAAGGGUGCAAGCGUUACUCGGAAUUACUGGGCGUAAAGCGUGCGUAGGUGGUGGUUUAAGUCCGCUGUGAAAGCCCUGGGCUCAACCUGGGAAUUGCAGUGGAUACUGGGUCACUAGAGUGUGGUAGAGGAUAGUGGAAUUUCCGGUGUAGCAGUGAAAUGCGUAGAGAUCGGAAGGAACAUCUGUGGCGAAGGCGACUAUCUGGGCCAACACUGACACUGAGGCACGAAAGCGUGGGGAGCAAACAGGAUUAGAUACCCGUGUAGUCCCUGUCUCUUAUAC